AUGGCGGCGCGACGAAGCAGCCCACGCCGUCGCCUCCCUGCCGCUUCCCUCCCUCUAAACUUGCUCCGCCACCCGCCGCUCGGCGCCUUCCGCCCGUUGGCCUCCUCCUCCGUGGAUCUCGGCUGGUUGAUCCUGCCCGUGGGCGCGUGGCUGGACCGCCCGACAUCUCAACUCCGGCACCAACCGGCUCUGCUCUGGCUCUUCCGCCAUCCUGCUCGCCUGCCUGAGACUGGCUCUUGCCUGCCUCCCGUGCGACCUACUACCUCCACAACAACAAAAAGGUACAAAAAGGAAAUUACUCACCAUACAAAUGAGAAAUGUAUGGCUUUGUUCACAAACUGUGCCUGA
rnacentral:rRNA from 1 species